rnacentral:rRNA from 1 species
GGGGGAGCUUGCUCCUCCGGAUUAGUGGCGAACGGGUGAGUAACACGUGAGCAAUCUGCCCUUGACUCUGGGAUAAGCGCUGGAAACGGCGUCUAAUACCGGAUACGAGCUGCGAAGGCAUCUUCAGCAGCUGGAAAGAACUUCGGUCAAGGAUGAGCUCGCGGCCUAUCAGCUUGUUGGUGAGGUAAUGGCUCACCAAGGCGACGACGGGUAGCCGGCCUGAGAGGGUGACCGGCCACACUGGGACUGAGACACGGCCCAGACUCCUACGGGAGGCAGCAGUGGGGAAUAUUGCACAAUGGGCGCAAGCCUGAUGCAGCAACGCCGCGUGAGGGAUGACGGCCUUCGGGUUGUAAACCUCUUUUAGCAGGGAAGAAGCGAGAGUGACGGUACCUGCAGAAAAAGCACCGGCUAACUACGUGCCAGCAGCCGCGGUAAUACGUAGGGUGCGAGCGUUAUCCGGAAUUAUUGGGCGUAAAGAGCUCGUAGGCGGUCUGUCGCGUCUGCUGUGAAAACCCGAGGCUCAACCUCGGGCUUGCAGUGGGUACGGGCAGACUAGAGUGCGGUAGGGGAGAUUGGAAUUCCUGGUGUAGCGGUGGAAUGCGCAGAUAUCAGGAGGAACACCGAUGGCGAAGGCAGAUCUCUGGGCCGUUACUGACGCUGAGGAGCGAAAGCGUGGGGAGCAAACA